AAUCCUCUUUAGCCAUAACAUAUUAAAAGAAAAGAAAAUAAAAAUGUGCUUCUUGAAACGAAGUACCGUCCUAGCUAAGAAAAUAAAUUGUGCUCUUUUUGUCCAAGACAAAUGCUGCAGCGCUAUUUCUAUGCUAAAGUGAUGUUACGUAAGCUUCUCUCCAAUCUCAAAGAAAAGUUAAUCAACCCCUACCUAGCCUAAUAAAAUGAUGAGUUCCUUCCUAUUAUGUGUGCCACCCGC
rnacentral:lncRNA from 1 species